AGUUCAAAUCUUCAACAUUUUUAUAAGACAAUUUACAACAACAACAACACAUGUAUACAUAUGCAAUUUAACUUCACUGCACAGUCCUUAUCCAGAAUGAGAUCUGACAUAAUUUCAGUUGAUGUUUUAGCUGGAGCGUUUUCUUAACAUGCUUUGGGGCCGCGGUUUCAAAUGAGAAGUGAAAAUAGGACUGUGUUUAACAAUCGGUGAAGAACCGUGCUGUUGUUCACCCAAUGUUACACACAGACACUGCGGUCAUGCAUUCUGACAGACACACCGCGACGCGUUCUGCUGGAAGACAAGCCGACGCCGGCGUCAUGACAACAGUUCUUUGGCCACGGGUCUAACUGUCGAGGCGCGCUGGCACGGACGAUAAGGCCCACAGGAUGGCAUCGCUGGGCUUAUCAUGCGCAGCCAAGCCCCCAAGCCCCCCUCCUAUCGCUGGUUCCACCGACACAGGAAAGACUCAGGCGGCUUAUCUCUGUACAGCUGAAGACAUGUGGCAGCUCUGCCUCAUGGGGAUCGGGUCCUGGGAGCAAAUGAGGCCUGUCUGAUGGAGUCCCAAAAACGGUCUGUUUGUCCCUGUAACAUUACACGUUACACGGUGGUGAACAACAGCCCAACGCGUCGCUUUUCAGUGAUUGCCGGCCAGUGUAUGAAAAGCUUUCAGUCAAACACUGUGGCCACCAAGAGCCUCACACAUCAAUGUUCUUUCUUGGCUACAAUGAAGAACAACAGCGUAAUCGUACAUUAUGUUACAACCAGCUGGCCAAUCACAUGGUGCCCUUCAGCUCAGCAGACCGUGGUGGGUGUGGUCAGGACAGGAGGGCGGUGUGGUCAGAAGACGUUCGCACACUCUGCAUCUGUGACUUCGCCAGUAACAUUGUGUGGGAGGCUGUUCUGUCCAGGGCGUGUGUCCUGGUAACUGGGAGGGUGAUAUCUGGUGAAAUGUCUGGCUUGGCUGUGAGUUGUCUGGUGCAUGGUGGGAGAUGGUGUGGUGACAUGGCUGGUGUGACUUUGUUGAAGGGCUGUAGAUCUGGGAAGACCCAGGAGGGCAUGGGCUCUUCAGUUUAUUUAUGGUUUCAAUCUUCGGAUGAACAAAUUGAAACCAUAAAUAAAAAUAUAUUUUUCAUCUUUUGAACAACAAACACGUUUAAAGAUGAAAUGACCUGUCCAGUUGCACCGAGGAGAAGAAUCUCCUUUCACCUCAUGAGAAGGUGUGUCAGCAGACCAAGAAAUUGUUUGGCUCUGCCCACAAGAAAAUCCCUGUGGAGGGUUUCUGGCCGAUGAUCAUUCACAAGUGUUGUACGGAGUCUUCUAGAACAAUUUCAGUUUGGUCAGAAUCAUCAGUCAAAAGCUUUUUCUUCACUAAGUCUCUUGUUGAGCCAUUUUAUUUCAUUUGAACCAUGUCUCUUUAUUUGUGAACUGAUUGUUGAUGAUUGAUUGCUUGUUGUCAUCUGUGGCCGUUGGGCCUAAAGCGCUUCAGUUUUUUGUUUAAAUGAAGAUGGAGUUCACUGUGGAAGGAAAACAAGUGACCGCUGUUAUGUAACUUUUAAUAAAAAUAAGCUAUUCUGA